AGUGAACGCUGGCGGUAGGCCUAACACAUGCAAGUCGAACGGCAACACAGUAAGAGCUUGCUCUUACGGGUGGCGAGUGGCGGACGGGUGAGGAAUACAUCGGAAUCUACUUUUUCGUGGGGGAUAACGUAGGGAAACUUACGCUAAUACCGCAUACGACCUACGGGUGAAAGCAGGGGAUCUUCGGACCUUGCGCGAUUGAAUGAGCCGAUGUCGGAUUAGCUAGUUGGCGGGGUAAAGGCCCACCAAGGCGACGAUCCGUAGCUGGUCUGAGAGGAUGAUCGGCCACACUGGAACUGAGACACGGUCCAGACUCCUACGGGAGGCAGCAGUGGGGAAUAUUGGACAAUGGGCGCAAGCCUGAUCCAGCCAUACCGCGUGGGUGAAGAAGGCCUUCGGGUUGUAAAGCCCUUUUGUUGGGAAAGAAAAGCAGCAGGUUAAUACCCCGCUGUUCUGACGGUACCCAAAGAAUAAGCACCGGCUAACUUCGUG
rnacentral:rRNA from 1 species